GACGAACGCUGGCGGCGUGCUUAACACAUGCAAGUCGAACGGAAAGGCCCUGCUUUUGUGGGGUGCUCGAGUGGCGAACGGGUGAGUAACACGUGAGUAACCUGCCCUUGACUUUGGGAUAACUUCAGGAAACUGGGGCUAAUACCGGAUAGGAGCUCCUGCUGCAUGGUGGGGGUUGGAAAGUUUCGGCGGUUGGGGAUGGACUCGCGGCUUAUCAGCUUGUUGGUGGGGUAGUGGCUUACCAAGGCUUUGACGGGUAGCCGGCCUGAGAGGGUGACCGGCCACAUUGGGACUGAGAUACGGCACAGACUCCUACGGGAGGCAACAGUGGGGAAUAUUGCACAAUGGGCGGAAGCCUGAUGCAGCAACGCCGCGUGCGGGAUGACGGCCUUCGGGUUGUAAACCGCUUUCGCCUGUGACGAAGCGUGAGUGACGGUAAUGGGUAAAGAAGCACCGGCUAACUACGUG
rnacentral:rRNA from 1 species